CAGCAGCCGCGGUAAUACGGAGGGUGCAAGCGUUAAUCGGAAUUACUGGGCGUAAAGCGCACGCAGGCGGUCUGUCAAGUCAGAUGUGAAAUCCCCGGGCUUAACCUGGGAACUGCAUUUGAAACUGGCAGGCUAGAGUCUUGUAGAGGGGGGUAGAAUUCCAGGUGUAGCGGUGAAAUGCGUAGAGAUCUGGAGGAAUACCGGUGGCGAAGGCGGCCCCCUGGACAAAGACUGACGCUCAGGUGCGAAAGCGUGGGGAGCAAACAGGAUUAGAUACCCGAGUAGUCCCUGUCUCUUUACA
rnacentral:rRNA from 1 species